rnacentral:misc_RNA from 1 species
CAUUCAGUAGCCUAGCUACUUGUUUAUACCCUUGUUUUUUUGCGUACCUAUUGUUUCCUCGGUGGGCUUGCCUGCCGGUUGGACAAAACUAUAACCUUUUUAAAUCUUCAAUCAGCGUCUGAAUUACACAUAAUAAUUA